ACGAACGCUGGCGGCGUGCUUAACACAUGCAAGUCGAACGCUGAAGCUUGGUGCUUGCACUGGGUGGAUGAGUGGCGAACGGGUGAGUAAUACGUGAGUAACCUGCCCUUGACUCUGGGAUAAGCCUGGGAAACUGGGUCUAAUACUGGAUACGACAUGUCACCGCAUGGUGGUGUGUGGAAAGGGUUUUACUGGUUUUGGAUGGGCUCACGGCCUAUCAGCUUGUUGGUGGGGUAAUGGCUCACCAAGGCGACGACGGGUAGCCGGCCUGAGAGGGUGACCGGCCACACUGGGACUGAGACACGGCCCAGACUCCUACGGGAGGCAGCAGUGGGGAAUAUUGCACAAUGGGCGGAAGCCUGAUGCAGCGACGCCGCGUGAGGGAUGACGGCCUUCGGGUUGUAAACCUCUUUCAGCACGGAAGAAGCGAAAGUGACGGUACGUGCAGAAGAAGCGCCGGCUAACUACGU
rnacentral:rRNA from 1 species